CCUACGGGAGGCAGCAGUGGGGGAUAUUGCACAAUGGGGGGAACCCUGAUGCAGCGACGCCGCGUGGGUGAAGACGCGCCUCGGCGCGUAAAGCCCUGUCAGCAGGGAAGAAAAUGACGGUACCUGAAGCAGCAGCCACGGCUAACUACGUGCAAGCAGCCGCGGUAAUACGUAGGGGGCAAGCGUUCUCCGGAGGUAUUGGGUGGAAAGGGGGCGCAGGCGGCGAUGCAAGCCAGGAUUGAAAGCCCGGGGCCCAACCCCGGGACUGCUCUUGGAACUGCGUGGCUGGAGUGCAGGAGGGGCAGGCGGAAUGCCUGGGGUAGCGGUGAAAUGCGUAGAUAUCAGGAGGAACACCGGUGGCGAAGGCGGCCUGCUGGACUGCAACUGACGUUGAGGCCCGAAAGCGUGGGGAGCAAACAGGAUUAGAUACCCUUGUAGUC
rnacentral:rRNA from 1 species